rnacentral:rRNA from 1 species
UACGUAGGGAGCAAGCGUUGUCCGGAAUCAUUGGGCGUAAAGCGCGCGUAGGUGGCUUCGUAAGUCCGUUGUGAAAGUCAAAGGCUCAACCUUUGAAAGCCGAUGGAUACUGUGGAGCUAGAGUACGGAAGAGGCGAGUGGAAUUCCUGGUGUAGCGGUGGAAUGCGCAGCAUAUCAGGAGGAACACCGGUGGCGAAGGCGGGUCUCUGGGCCGUAACUGACGCUGAGGAGCGAAAGCAUGGGAGCGAACAGG